AAGAUGUCUUUACGAGUUGUGUAAAUGCAUACAUAAUACAUCGAUGUAUAAUCAAAUUAAAUUCAACAUUUAUUAUUGUUCUUUAAUUCAUCUACCAAAACGAAUGUUGCAAAUUGAAAAAAUCACCACCAUUAAAAGUUGUUUUCUCAUCGUUGCUUCGUUUUCCAGUGGCAAAGGUGUUGACUAAAAUGUUUUCUUAUACCAUUUUAUGCAACUCUUAUAUAAUCCACAAAAGAAAAUAUUUUGGAUCAAAUUGCAUUGGGCGACGUUCAGGGCAGACAGCAGGUAUGGUUGGUUACGGUGUUGUGCAUUUGUUGGACUGUACCCCAUGGGCUGGGAGAAAAAGCAUGGAAUCCAAUGCUUGUAAUCAAAGUUCCGCCAAAAAUCUUCCUUUAAUGUCCACUUUGUUUUCUCAAUAUAAUCCCGCCGUUUUAAUUUACAAUACGAUUUUCAUAUCCAUGUUAUUUUAACCAAUUAUUUAGUAUUGCUUUCUAGCUUUAGAGCUCUGCUG